GACGAACGCUGGCGGCGAGUGCCUAACACAUGCAAGUCGAACGAAGGCUUCGGGCCUUAGUGGACGCACGGGUGCGUAACGCGUGGGAAUCUGCCCUUGGGCUCGGAAUAACAGUUAGAAAUGACUGCUAAUACCGGAUGAUGUCGUAAGACCAAAGAUUUAUCGCCCAAGGAUGAGCCCGCGUAGCAUUAGCUAGUUGGUGAGGUAACGGGCUACCAAGGCGACGAUGCGUAGCCGACCUGAGAGGGUGAUCGGCCACAUUGGGACUGAGACACGGCCCAG
rnacentral:rRNA from 1 species